AAGUUGAUUCUGGCUCAGGAUGAACGCUGGCGGCGUGCCUAACACAUGCAAGUCGAACGGAACUUUAAGGAACAAGACUUCGGUCAAGUGAUAUUAAGUUAGUGGCGGACGGGUGAGUAACGCGUGAGCAACCUGCCUUUCAGAGGGGGAUAACGUCCGGAAACGGACGCUAAUACCGCAUGACAUAGAUUUAUCGCAUGGUGAAUCUAUCAAAGAUUUUAUCGCUGAGAGAUGGGCUCGCGUCCGAUUAGGUAGUUGGUGGGGUAACGGCUCACCAAGCCGACGAUCGGUAGCCGGACUGAGAGGUUGAACGGCCACAUUGGGACUGAGACACGGCCCAGACUCCUACGGGAGGCAGCAGUGGGGAAUAUUGCACAAUGGGCGCAAGCCUGAUGCAGCAACGCCGCGUGAGGGAAGACGGUUUUCGGAUUGUAAACCUCUGUCUUUGGUGACGAAGAAGUGACGGUAGCCAAGGAGGAAGCCACGGCUAACUACGUGCCAGCAGCAGC
rnacentral:rRNA from 1 species